rnacentral:rRNA from 1 species
UACGUAGGGUGCGAGCGUUAAUCGGAAUUACUGGGCGUAAAGCGUGCGCAGGCGGUCUGUUAAGACCGAUGUGAAAUCCCCGGGCUUAACCUGGGAACUGCAUUGGUGACUGGCAGGCUAGAGUAUGGCAGAGGGGGGUAGAAUUCCACGUGUAGCAGUGAAAUGCGUAGAGAUGUGGAGGAAUACCGAUGGCGAAGGCAGCCCCCUGGGCCAAUACUGACGCUCAUGCACGAAAGCGUGGGGAGCAAACAGG